rnacentral:lncRNA from 1 species
GUGAGGAGCACCUCUGCCCGGCCGCCCUGUCCAGGAGUCCCUCACACAGUGCAGCUUAGUGGAGAAGCACAUGGCCUGUAGAAUCAGAUGGAACCAUGUGAGGUUUGGGACCACAAGUGGAUACACAAAACAGGAAUCCUCUCCAAUAAGGAUACCCUUGAGCCAACCACUGGGAGCAUCUCCUGAAGCGCUGAGGAUAGACUGAACAGCCAAAGCAUGGAAGUUAGGGCAGAGGUGACUGUAUGUGCAGCAGCUUCCCCUCGUCACCUGAAUCUUCAGUAUUGUUUGUGCAGGAAAUGGAGGAUCAAGAAUCAAGAUUCUUUCCCUUCAUUUACCAAUUAUUAUAGCAAUCAGUUGGUUCCCUAGCAUCCUCCAAAGGAAACAAAUGGGGCUCUUUUUUUUUUUUAGAGACAGGGUCUGGAUCUGUUGCCCAGGCUGGAGUGCAGUGGCGCAAUUAUUGCUCACUGCAGCCUUGAAGUUUUGGGCUCAAAUUAUCCUCCCACCUCAGCCAAGUAGCUGGUAUUACAGGCAUGUGCCACCAUGCCCAGCUGACUUUUUUAUUUUUUGUAGAGUCAAAGUCUCACCAUGUUGCCCAGUCUGGUCUCAAACUCCUGGCCUCAAGCAAUCCUCCAGCCUUGGCCUCCCAAAGUGCUGGGAUUACAGGUGUGAGCCACCACAUCCAGCCUAAUGAGCUUUCUUAAUAUCAUUAUAAAGUCUUGAGUUUUUCAAAUAUUUGAUGUGUUUCAAAACAUUGCAGUUAUUAUCAUUUUUACAGCUCAAAUUAUCCCAUAUCUGGCCAGUGAGAGCCUCUUCACGUUGGUGUCUGGACCCUUUAGACAUGUGCCCAGUAGUCCUUGAUGGCUUCUUGGCAUCUGUUUAUAAUAAGAUGCUGCAGGCUCAUCUGGUACAUUUCCUGCCCCAGAUAGAGAACCAACCAUUUCUCUAAGGAUCUCUAGUUCCUUUUAGAUGGAGAUAACAUUUAGAGUCCACAAUGUAGACAACAGGAAUGCUUGUUGCUACUAGAUUUUUGUCUCCUAGAAUAUUCAGUGGAUAGAGGUAGAACAUAUGUAUUGUUAAUUAAAAUUUUAAUUUUAAGAUAAUUGCAGAUUCACAAACAAUUUUAAGAAUAUUAUUUACACAGAUCUGCAUUCCAGUUACUCAGUUUCUCCCAACAAUAAUAUCUUGCAAAGCUAUAUUGCAAUAUCACAACCAGGAUAUUAGCAUUGAUGCAGUCAAAAUGCAUUGCCUUCACUGUAAAAGCCCCCUCAAGUUUUCCUUUUCUAGCUACACCCACUUCCCUCCUGCCCCCAGGCCCUCCUUCAUCUCUGACAACCACUGAAUCUGUUCUCCAUUUCUAUAGUUUUGUCAUGUCAAGAAUAUUAUAUCAACAGAAUUAUGCAUUGUGUAUCCUUUUGGCAUUGGCUUUUUUCACUCUGUAAUUCUCUGAAGAUUCAUCCAGGAUGUUGUGCAUAUCAAUAGUGUAUUCCUUUUUAUUGCUGAAUAGUAUUCUAUGCUAUGGAUGUACCACAGACUGUUUAAUUGUUCACGAACUAAAGGACAUGUAGGUUGUUUCCAGUUGGGGCCACUACAAAUAAACUUGCUCUAAACAUUUAUGUGCAGGUUUUUGUGUGAACACAAGUCUUCAUUUCUCUGGGACAAAUGCCCAAGGAUGCAGUUGCUGAGUUGUAUGGCACUGCCAGUUUCAUUUUUUUUUAAUUGCCUAACUUUUUUCCAGAGUGGCUGUACCAUUUUACAUUCCCAUUAAUAGUAAAUAAGGGAAAGAGUUUCCCUUCAUCCUCACUAGCAUUUGGAGUUGUCACUAUUUUUUAUUUAACCAUUGUCAUAUGUGUAUAGUAAUAGCUCAUCAUAAUUUUAAUUUUUAUUUUCAUAAUAGCAAAUGAUGUUAAAUGUCCUUCCUUGUGCUUAUUUGACAUCUGUCUGUGCUUUUUGGUGAAAUGCGUGUUCAUAUCAUUUGCCCAUUUUCUGUUUGUUUGUUUUGCUAUUGAGUUUUAAGAGUUCUUUAUGUAAUUUAGAUACUAAUCCUUUGUCUGCUAUAUGCUUUCAAAACAUUUUGUCCUAGUUGGUAGUUUGUUUUUUCAUACUCUUAGCAAGGUCAUUCACAGAACAAAAUUUUUUUCUUUAAUUUUGAUAGCGUCCGGUUUAUCUAUUUUUGGUUUUAUUGAUGAUGCUUUUGUUGUAAAGUUUAAAAUAUUCUUUGCCUGGCCCUAGGUCCUGAAGGGUUUUAAUGUAUUUUUCUAAAAGAUUUGUAGUUUUACAUUUAAGUCCGUGGUCUAUUUUGAAUUAAUUCAUGUAUGGAGUGUUAGGUUCAUGUCACCAUUCAACUUUGCUUAUGGAUAUGCAAAUGCUCCAGCAAUAUUUGUUGAAAAAACUUCCUUUCCCCACACUGAAUUACUUUUAUGCUUUUGUCAAUAACCUGUCAGUUAUAUUUAUGUGGGUCUGAGUUCUCUGUUCUGUUUAAUUUGUCUGUGUAUCUUUCACUCUACCAAUAUCACGUGCUGUUGAUUACAAUAGCUACACAAUAAGUCUUGUAAUGGGAUAGAUUGAUUCUUCCAACUUGGUAAUUCUUUUUCAAAAAUGUUUUAGCUAUUUUAGUUCCUUUGCAUCUCCAAGACAAUUUUAAAAUAAUCUUGUAUUCAUCUACAAGAAAUAUUGCUGAAAUUUUUGUAGGAAUUGUAUAUAUGAGUUUGGGGAGAAUUAACAUCUUUGCUAUUUUGAGUCUCCAAAUUGAAGAACAUGAUGUGUCUCAUCAUUUGUUUAGAUCUUUGAUUUCUUUCAUCAGAAUUUCUAAUGUUUAGCAUUCAAGUCUUAUGAAUGUUUUGUUAGAAUUUGAAAUGAGUAUUUCCUUUUCUGAGCAAUUAUAAAUGGUACUUAUUGUAUUUUUAAUUUUUAUAUCCAAGCGUUCAUCACUCAAAGUACACUUGAUUUUUUUGUAUAUUUAUGUCGUAUCCUGUAGCCUUGCUGAAUUCACUUACUAGUUCUAGGAGUUGUUGAUUUUGGUGUUUUAAAAUAGAUUUCUUUGGAUUUUCCACAUAGCCAUCAUGUUAUCUGCAAAAGUGAACAGUUUUAUUUCUUCCUUUCCAAUCAAUAUGCCUUUUUUUAAAUGCUUUACUGAACUGGCUAAAACUUCCUGUGCUGUAUUGAAUUAGAGUAGUAAGAGCAUAUAUCUUUGCCUUAUUCCCUUUCUUAGGAGAAAAGCAUUCUUUCUUUGACCAUUAAGUAUAAUGUUAAGUGUUGGAGGUUUUGUAAAAGCUCUUUAUCAAAUUGAGGAAGUUCCUCUCUAUUGUUAUUUUUCUCAGAGUUUUUAUUUUUAUUUUAUUUUUUUCAGACAGAGUCUCACUCUGUCACCCAGGCUGGAGUGCAGUGGCUCAAUCUCAGCUCAGUGCAACCUCCACCUCCCAAGUGCAAGUGAUUCUCAUGCCUCAGCCUCCCAAGUAGCUAGCAUGCAUCACCACACCUGGCUAAUUUUUUUGUAUUUUUAGUAGAGACAGGGUAUCGCCAUGUUGGCCAGGCAGGUCUCAAACUCCUGGCCUGAUGUGAUCUACCCGCCUCACCUCCCAAAGUGCUGGGAUUACAGGUGUGAGCCACCACACCUGGGAUUUCUCAGAGUUUUUAUCAUGCAUUUUGUCAAAUGAUUUUUCUGCAUCAAUUGAUACGAUUAUGUGAUUCUCUUCUUCAUCAUGUUAAUAUGGUAGGUUACAUUGAUUUUCACAUAUGGAACAAGCCUUGCUUUCCAGGAAUAAACUGCACUUGCUCAUAGCAUAUAGUUCUUUUUACAUAUUGCUUAAUUCUGUGUCUAUAUUUAUGAGGGAUAUUGGUCUGUAGUUCCUGUUUUGUUUUGUUUUUUUUAACUGUCUUUGUUUUUGGUAUCAAGGUAAUACUAGCUUUUAAAAAUGAGUUGAGAGAAGGAGAAGGUGGGAUUUGGGGGGAAAAGGUUGCAGACUUUUUGACUCAGGUCAUUGUGGGCUUAGUCUCUAUUGAGUGGCUGGGUUACUGCAGGAAGCCACUCUCCAUUCUUAGGUGCAUUCUUGUCUAUUAAAGGAGAAAGUUAAACGCCUCUGGAAAACCUCAGGUUUAUUUUAGUGCUUAAAGUCUGUGGCUCUAAAUUCAGAUCCAGAACUCAUGUGGCCUGGCCAGGGAGGGUCACGGAGUGCUUUCCUCACACCUUUGUCUCUAGGCUCUGUAGACCUAGAGGUGUGGGACGUAAGAGCAGGCCCUUACCCAUGGAAUUUACAUACAAAUGGUGGAAUAAGACAGGAAGUAAAUAAAUGUGAUUAUUCUGAUAAUGGUAAAAAUAAUAAAUGAGAUAAAUAAAUAAAAUCACUUGAGAAGUAUUCCGCUGUCUUUCUUUUCUCUGGAAGAGGAUAUACAGAAUUGGUAUCUAUUAUUCUUUAAACUUUGGGCAGAAUUUUCCAGUGAAACCAUCUGAGCCUGGAGAUCUUAUGUGGGGCUAUUUGCAUUAUUUGUUUUAUAUUGAUAAGUUGUGGUAGUUUAUGCUUUUCAAGAAAGUGGUCUAUUUCAUUUAAGUUGCCAAAUGUAUGUGUUUAGAGUUGUUUGUAGUAUUCAUUUAUUAUCCUUUCAACAUCUACAAGGUCUUUAGUGAUACCUUCUGUGUCAUGCCUAAUAUUUCUAAUCUAUAAUUCUCUCCUUUUUGCUUUGUCACUCUUGGUAGAUGUUUGUGAAUUUUAUAGAUCUUUUUA